AAACAGGAGAACAUAAGAGGAAUGGGGGUUAUCUGGUUAGGAUUUAGUUCUCCACUCCCAUUCUUUACAAUACAGCAUUAAAUACAGCAAUGCCCCUUACAUUAAGCUACUUUACUAUUAAUAUGCCAGACGGUGUUUUCCUCAAUGCAAUGUGUUAGACAUAUAACUUAAUACUAUCUGUUUUAAUCAAUUUAGUCUUUAGCAUAACAGAAUGUACAAAUUUGUAUGUUAUAAUUAUCAGUGAUCGAAUAAUAGUAAAGCGGAGUAAGCACUGUGCACUUGCAGAUAAUUUGUUUGUUACCAUUUGCCUGAAUUAAUCAUUACUUCUGAUUUUACAUAUCUACACUUCUUUUACAUUUGUUUUCAUUUUCACUCUAUAUCUAUGCAGAGGUAAUUGAAACAAAUGAUAUGCCUCACUAUGGGACACGAAUUUCCAUAUCAUCUCUAUAUUGUGUUGCAUGACUGAGGUGUUAAAUCACUGGAAAAAAUAGUUUAUUUGGGGGAGUUUAUAGAAACUCUUACAAUUUUCCCAAUAAUGGCAAGAGAUCAACAAGUGCUGUAGCGAUACAGUGUCUUAUAAGUGAGAUGACCAGGGAACAUCACUCUGGAUUCCUAUUUUUUUAACAGAAACCAGUCAGAGAACAUACCAUGCAGAGGAACAGACAGCAUACACAGAAGCUUUCAUUUCAGAAGCCUUAAGCCCCAGGAGUAAUUCAUUCUCAGGAACUGAUUUUAAUCACAGUGGAAGACAGCUGUCCUGCUGCUCACAGAUAGCCUCCUCUAAGCAACAUUGUCUCUACACAGAGCCUUGCAAAACUCAGAAUACAGAGUGCAUGAUGCUGAAUUAUUAUGUGAUUGACUGCUAAAUAAUUCCUUGAAUGUCAUACACGGCAACAUGUUUACUACCAGUUUGUGCAAUUCAAAUUGUUUGUAUUUGUCUGCAGAAGAGCAGAAAUGAAACAGAACUUUGUAUAUUUUAAAUAUUUUUAUCUACUCUAUGAAAUGCAGUAGUAAAAAAAUGAGCAACAUAGCACAUUAUGUUAUAUAUGUCAAGAAGAGUAGAUGAGUUUUAUCAUACAGUGAAACAUGAGCCAGAAUCAAGCACAUAGCGUAACUACAAGCAUAGGUUGUUAAUUGGGACUGACUUAACCCAUACAGUUAAGUAGGAGAAGAAAUGGUAACCAUCUACUUUAUCCACAGAUUAAUGAAUAUGCACAAGUUUUGAUUCACAUAUCAACUUUUUAGUUUUUACUUUUUGCAUGUCCCCUGACAUAGGUUUAUUGCUAAAGUGAUGAACAGCUACAUGUAAAGUUUGAACAAAUCUGGUGCAUUUUUUCUCCAAAUAUGUGCAGACAUACCACACACAAGAAUAUGUUUUAUAUUAUAAAUGUGUGUCCUACUUCUUUUAAUUUUU
rnacentral:lncRNA from 1 species